rnacentral:rRNA from 1 species
AGUGGCGGACGGGUGUGUAACGCGUGAGAAUCUGGCUUCAGGAGGGGGACAACAGUUGGAAACGACUGCUAAUACCCCAUAUGUCUACGGAUGAAACGGUGAAUUCCGCCUGAAGAUGAGCUCGCGUCGGAUUAGCUAGUUGGUGAGGUAAAGGCUCACCAAGGCGACGAUCCGUAGCUGGUCUGAGAGGAUGAUCAGCCACACUGGGACUGAGACACGGCCCAGACUCCUACGGGAGGCAGCAGUGGGGAAUUUUCCGCAAUGGGCGAAAGCCUGACGGAGCAACGCCGCGUGCGGGAAGACGGCCUGUGGGUUGUAAACCGCUUUCCUCUGGGAAGAAUAAGUUGACGGUACCAGAGGAAUCAGCAUCGGCUAACUCCGUGCCAGCAGCCGCGGUAAUACGGAGGAUGCAAGCGUUAUCCGGAAUUAUUGGGCGUAAAGCGUCCGCAGGCGGCUUAUCAAGUUUGCUGUUAAAGGUCGGGGCUCAACUCCGGUUAGGCAGUGGAAACUGAUAGGCUAGAGUGUGGUAGGGGUAGAGGGAAUUCCCAGUGUAGCGGUGAAAUGCGUAGAUAUUGGGAAGAACACCAGUGGCGAAGGCGCUCUACUGGGCCACAACUGACGCUGAGGGACGAAAGCUAGGGGAGCGAAAGGGAUUAGAUACCCCUGUAGUCCUAGCUGUAAACGAUGGAUACUAGGUGUU